rnacentral:rRNA from 1 species
UACGUAGGAGACGAGCGUUGUCCGGAGUUACUGGGCGUAAAGGGUGCGCAGGUGGCGGCGCGCGUGGGGGGUGAAAGCGCCUGGCUUAACCGGGCGAGGUCGGCGGAAACUCUCAGACUGGAGGCCGGUAGAGGGGGGUGGAAUUCCCGGUGUAGUGGUGAAAUGCGUAGAGAUCGGGAGGAACACCUGUGGCGAAGGCGGCCCCCUGGGCCGCGCCUGACGCUGAGACGCGAAGGCUAGGGGAGCGAACGGG